rnacentral:piRNA from 1 species
UGAGAGAACCUGGCUGCCAGGUCAGCUG